UAGGAAUUUGGCUGGUAACCUCUGGAAA
rnacentral:piRNA from 1 species